GUCUCUGUGACUUUCCCCUACAACACAUCAGCCACUAAAGAGCUCAGAAAGUCAGCUCCAGGACAAGGUGCCUUCCUUUUUUUCUGUUUUGCAAGGACAAAUCUGACAGAAAUGUAGAACCCGCGUAGGCAUUUACGCAGCCCAUGCAGCAGGGAAAGCCUUCAGCCCUGCCAUGAAGGAUAGACUUGACGACAACAUCCACUAUACAGAUGAGCCCUCAAAUUAGUGCAGGAGCCUCGAGGCCUCAGGCUCGGAGGAGAGAGGCGUCCACCGCUCUGCCUCUGCCACCGGCCACGCCGCCAGGGGCAUCCAUCACAGACAAAAAGAGACAGGAGGUUUCAUGCUACAAGUCUGGAUAAGGAGACGAGACAGGAAUUGCCAAAGGCACAACAUAAUGGAUCCACGCUGACUUUCAGGAACAAAUGACAAGGUCUACCCAGAAAACUCUUCUUCUGAAAGGCAGCUUGGACUUUAAAGCUGUUGACCUAAUGCUGUGGCUGAUGAAAGUAUUUCCAUGAAGGGAUGCAGCCAGAAUCAGAUUUGCUUUUAAGACUUUGACCUCUCAAUGGUCACGCUUGAGCUUUCUAUCUCCGUCUUAUUUAUCUAUGUUGAGAAUGAGUUUAAUGUUUUGAAAUGUUGGUGUUGGGGGAAUGUUGAUAGAAUUCUUUUACAGAGAGACAAUGGCCCACAUGUAAGAAAUAUUUGCUUUAUCACUAGUUCGGUUAUUAACUAGAUUUGGGAAAAUGGAGCCUUUUGGGGUGGGAGGUCCUUUUUUUGUCUCUACUGUUUGUUUUAAAAUAGUC